UCUCACCUGUAUCCUUAAUGUGCAGUAAUAUUGAAAACAAUGAAAAUACUGUGCAGAGCCAUGAGCCUUCCCGAAAAACUCGUAAGAGGCCUCGAUCACCAUUGCCAGUUAUUGAAGGAGCAACACCUGUAUCUUUACCGUCUUCUGGUGGUUUUAAUGGGCUUGGUAUCGAAUCAAUUAUAAAGGAACCUAGUAAAGUUAUGUGGCGACAGCAAUCUAUGCAAUUGCACAUAAACAAUGUUGCUUUU